GAAGACUGACGCUCAGGUGCGAAAGCGUGGGGAGCAAACAGGAUUAGGUACCCUGGUAGUCCACGCUGUAAACGAUGUCGAUUUGGAGGUUGUGCCCUUGAGGCGUGGCUUCCGGAGCUAACGCGUUAAAUCGACCGCCUGGGGAGUACGGCCGCAAGGUUAAAACUCAAAUGAAUUGACGGGGGCCCGCACAAGCGGUGGAGCAUGUGGUUUAAUUCGAUGCAACGCGAAGAACCUUACCUACUCUUGACAUCCAGAGAACUUAGCAGAGAUGCUUUGGUGCCUUCGGGAACUCUGAGACAGGUGCUGCAUGGCUGUCGUCAGCUCGUGUUGUGAAAUGUUGGGUUAAGUCCCGCAACGAGCGCAACCCUUAUCCUUUGUUGCCAGCGGUUCGGCCGGGAACUCAAAGGAGACUGCCAGUGAUAAACUGGAGGAAGGUGGGGAUGACGUCAAGUCAUCAUGGCCCUUACGAGUAGGGCUACACACGUGCUACAAUGGCAUAUACAAAGAGAAGCGACCUCGCGAGAGCAAGCGGACCUCAUAAAGUAUGUCGUAGUCCGGAUUGGAGUCUGCAACUCGACUCCAUGAAGUCGGAAUCGCUAGUAAUCGUAGAUCAGAAUGCUACGGUGAAUACGUUCCCGGGCCUUGUACACACCGCU
rnacentral:rRNA from 1 species